CUUUUCUCUUGUUGAGUGCAAAUGGAGAACAGCUGCUCACGCUCGUCGUCUGACAUCAGCUAUUUCUCAGGAUGACCCUGCGAGACAGGCCAGGGUCAUUAGACCCAAUUUGGUUCUCAGCAAAUAUGUGUUUAUUCCUGCAUGCGUGGGCCACAGGCUGGUUUCUUGGGUGCAAUGAAUAGCUGCAGGUUUAUUAGGGUGUCUUUUUAGAUGGAUGUAUGUUUCCCGAUGUCUAUAGAACACUCCGGACCCCGGAGAGUGAAGACUCUGCCUGUCGGACUUGCUUUGAGAAGAUCCUUCUCCACCUCCCCAUGGCAGAAGUUGCUUCACAGAGGGGAACAGUUUUAUGGAUGUGGCUGAGACCUUAAACUUGAGGCAACCCAUCUGAGGUGGCAUCCAGAGGAGACUGGCUGGCCCCUCCUUCACCUUGGAUGUAGUGCUGUUUCUAGGAUCUCUUUUCAAUCAGCAAAACAGGGGAUGUUCCAAGAGGGUGUGGAUUCCCUGCCAUCCCACAUGGUCAAGUGGAGGGGACGGGAAAAAGCUAUGAAGGGUUUGUGACCACACAGACUCUCCUGGCCCCCUGUCCUUUUGGAAAGAAGACAGGGAUGAAAUAUAAUCAAGCAAUUAACCACCCCCAUCAUCACCAAGAACAACAGUAUCAACAAGAAGAACAGGGACAACAAAACCCACGGAUGAAACAUUCCUUUCUCAGCUCAGAUCUUAUCUGGUGCGUUCUCUCUCUGCUCUGUCUUGGUGUGUGGUUUAGAGAAACAUGGACAACGCUGUUUGGAAGAACAGGUGAGCGAGGGUGGGGAAUUUCAGAGGCCUGGGCCCACCGCCUCCACCCCUUCCCCAGUUUAACCUUUGACAGGAUCUUCACCUCUCUCUGAUCAGCAUUGCUUCUUGUUCAAAGGCCUCAGCCACCCAGCUGUGUCCCUUUCCCCAGAAAGCAAGGGCAGAUGGCAGUGGGUCUGUUGAUGAGAGAACUUUAAGGGCCCAAUCAGUCCCUGGGCACCCCCUCCUGGGCUCGUUUUCUCCAGGAGGCUGCAUUCUGAUCCAUAAACCUUCUCCUCGGGGUUUAGGGUCGAGCUGUUCCUGAUGUUUAUCGGAGACUGGGAUCAAAGCUAUCCAGGUCAUAAAUCUCUCUCUGUGGCUGUUGGGCCCCAGGGCAGCUGAAGAGGGUUGACAGCCCUUUGGACCUCAAAGGAAAAAAUGUGCUCUACUCCACCCACUCCCAGCUCUGCCAAGAAGCUGUCCUCUGAGAAGCCAUGGCUGGGCCGUUCCAUUCUGGGGAGCUGCUGAAAAGAGCUGGGAGGCCGAGAAGAACUUGCGUGUGCUGGGGGAGAGGAAGCCUGGCCUUGAGGGAGGGGUGCAGGUGUGGCUCCUCUGUGUGUGGGGGCUGGGGGACCUUGUGUGCCUUUUCCUUGUGGCUGUGAAAUGCUUUAUGAGUACUUCCAUAGGAGGAUGGACAGGGAGUCGGGGAGAUAAACUCAGCCACAAGGCCCCAGGGCCUCAGGAAACUUGCACCCAACCCUCUCAUUUUACAGAAGAAAACUGUGCCUGGAAGGUUGAAGGGUUUGUUCCCAGUCACACAACCAGGGAUCCUUAGGACAGCCAGACCAGGAAACCAUUUCCAAACUGCCAAGCCAUGGCAGAGUAUCAAGACCUCAGGAACCAUCGAGACACCAUGGAAGCAUUGGGAAAAGCCUCCUUAGCUUUUGAAGCUCCUCAUUGUUCUUGAGUGUGCAUGGAGCCCAUGACUGCGGGGUUUUGUAGACACCUCAGGGAUUACAUGACUGGUACCCCUGACAAAGUCAAGGCUGCUGGACAAAAUGAGUCCGAGGAUUUCAGGGGCAGCUGGGCGCAGGAGCUGGUGGGCUGUUGGGAGUGCCCCUUUACUGGGCAGGCUUCCUUCCUCCUGGUGAUGGGGGGUUCCUCAGCACAAAAGUGAAGGGGUGGAGGGGCUGGAGGAGCAGGAAUCUCUCUUGUUGAUAGGUAUGAGGCCUUGAAGUCCUUUUCUUUGUCCCAGGAUUCAUGGACGCUUCGGGGCUGAUCUUUGAGUUUUCAAGCAUGGGGUGCAGAGACGUUUAGGUAAACUCUUACCGUCCUCUCUCUUCGUCAGGGCUUCCCAGGAAUCAACAAUGCCCAAGAAGGAAGGGAUUGUAGAAAUAGCUUAACCCUUUCAUUUACCAACGUGGAAAUUGAAGCCCAGGGAAGGGAAGGGACCGGUCGUGGAAGGGAGAGCCAUCAGCAGAAAGAGACCCUGAGAUCUUCGCCUGGGAUUCCCAGGAAGUCCAGCCCGAGCUGAUUCACAGAACAAAUGCAUGCAAACCUUGCUAUCAAUAAAUUACACAUGCACUUACGUAAAACACAUAAAAA
rnacentral:lncRNA from 1 species